rnacentral:rRNA from 1 species
UACGUAGGGGGCUAGCGUUGUUCGGAUUUAUUGGGCGUAAAGCGCUCGCAGGUGGUUCGUUGCGUCGUGCGUGAAAGACCCCGGCUCAACUGGGGAGGGUCGUGCGAUACGGGCGAACUGGAGGCCAGUAGGGGGAUGCGGAAUUCCGGGUGUAGUGGUGGAAUGCGUAGAGAUCCGGAGGAACACCAGCGGCGAAGGCGGCAUCCUGGACUGGUCCUGACACUCAGGAGCGAAAGCGUGGGGAGCGAGUCCGG